UGAAAAAUAUCUAGUUUUCUAGAUUGAUGGCGACCGGCGCACGGGUGCGGAACGCGUAUGGAACCUGCCCCUGUCAGGGGAAUAGCCCAGAGAAAUUUGGAUUAAUGCCCCAUAGUACUAUUUAGUUGCAUGAUUAAAUAGUUAAAGAUUUAUCGGACAGGGAUGGCCAUGCGUACCAUUAGUUAGUUGGUAAGGUAACGGCUUACCAAGGCAGCGAUGGUUAGGGGCCCUGAGAGGGGGAUCCCCCACACUGGUACUGAGACACGGACCAGACUCCUACGGGAGGCAGCAGUGAGGAAUAUUGGACAAUGGUGGGAACACUGAUCCAGCCAUGCCGCGUGCAGGAUGACGGCCCUAUGGGUUGUAAACUGCUUUUAUACAGGAAGAACCCCACUUACGUGUAGGUGGUUGACGGUACUGUAAGAAUAAGGACCGGCUAACUCCGUGCCAGCAGCCGCGGUAAUACGGAGGGUCCGAGCGUUAUCCGGAAUCAUUGGGUUUAAAGGGUCCGUAGGCGGGCUAGUAAGUCAGAGGUGAAAGGCCACGGCUCAACCGUGGGACUGCCUUUGAUACUGCUAGUCUUGAGUUGUGGUGAGGUUGCCGGAACAUGUGGUGUAGCGGUGAAAUGCAUAGAUAUCACAUAGAACACC
rnacentral:rRNA from 1 species